rnacentral:misc_RNA from 1 species
AAAUAGAAAAAAAAAAAAAAAACAAAAAGACUGCAAUUUCACCACCACCAAAACCUUAUCUCCCCCCCAAAAAUCCCAGCCAACAAAACCACAAAAAUCUCCACAGUAAUUAAAAAACACAGGAUCAAACCAAACACCUAAAGAAAGUGCUCGCCUUUCUUGCAAUGAACCCCACCAUCUCACAUCCACCAAAUCCCUAAAUCCAACAAAAUCUUCAAAAUUGGAAAAACAGUGGAAACACGCUCAAUACAUAGCCUGUACCUUAACUUAAUAAACAACAACAACGACCAGCAGGAAAGUGGAAACCCUAGGAAGUAGAAAGAGAAAUCUAGGGCUUGUAGAGGAAAAGAGCGACAAUGAGAGAGAGAUCUAGGGCACAGAGAUUGCACUGUGAGUAUAACAGAGCAGUAGAGUAAUAAGUUCACAGACGAU